rnacentral:rRNA from 1 species
UACAUGUGGGGCAAGCGUUGUUCGGAAUUACUGGGCAUAAAGGGUGCGUAGGCGGCGCGGUAAGUCGGGUGUGAAAUCUCGGAGCUUAACUCCGAAACUGCAUUCGAUACUGCCGUGCUUGAGGACUGGAGAGGAGACUGGAAUUUACGGUGUAGCGGUGAAAUGCGUAGAUAUCGUAAGGAAGACCAGUGGCGAAGGCGGCGAUCUGGGAAGAUACUGACGCUGAGGUGCGAAAGCGUGGGGAGCAAACAGG